UUUCCGUAGGUGAACCUGCGGAAGGAUCAUUAUUGAAUAAAUCUGGCUUGGUUGUUGCUGGUCUUUUCGAAGACAUGUGCACACCUUGUCAUCUUUAUAUCUCCACCUGUGCACCUCUUGUAGACCUGGAUUCAACUUUCCGAGGAAACUCGGUUGUGAGGAAUUGCUUAACAGGCUUUCCUUGUUCGUUUCCAGGGCUAUGUUUUCAUAUACACCUUAUGAAUGUAACAGAAUGUCAUUAUUAGGCUUAAUUGUCUUAUAAACUAUAUACAACUUUCAGCAACGGAUCUCUUGGCUCUC
rnacentral:misc_RNA from 1 species